AUUGAACGCUGGCGGCAGGCCUAACACAUGCAAGUCGAGCGGAUGAAGGGAGCUUGCUCCUGGAUUCAGCGGCGGACGGGUGAGUAAUGCCUAGGAAUCUGCCUGGUAGUGGGGGAUAACGUCCGGAAACGGGCGCUAAUACCGCAUACGUCCUGAGGGAGAAAGUGGGGGAUCUUCGGACCUCACGCUAUCAGAUGAGCCUAGGUCGGAUUAGCUAGUUGGUGGGGUAAAGGCCUACCAAGGCGACGAUCCGUAACUGGUCGGAGAGGAUGAUCAGUCACACUGGAACUGGGACACGGUCCAGACUCCUACGGGAGGCAGCAGUCGGGAAUAUUGGACAAGGGGCGAAAGCCUGAUCCAGCCAGGCCGCGUGUGUGAAGAAGGUCUUCGGAUUGUAAAGCACUUUAAGUUGGGAUGAAGGGCAGUAAGUUAUUACCUUGCUGUUUUGACGUUACCAACAGAAUAAGCACCGGCUAACUUCGUG
rnacentral:rRNA from 1 species